rnacentral:misc_RNA from 1 species
GGGUUAUUGAGGUAGCCAAAAUAAUUUACGGAGUUCAUGAUGAGGCAAAGGACAAGGCAUUUGAACUGGAAAUGAGUUGGGUGUGUGAUGAGUCUAACCGGCAGCACCAGAAGGUUCCCGCUGAUCUGUUAGAGGAAGCCAAGGAUGCAGCUAAAGCUGCACUUGAAGAGAUGGACGCAGACUAGUGGCGCAAAUACAACUCUGCUUGCUCUCUCUAUUUACUACUUUUAUCAACUGAAUCAAAUAGUCUGCUGUGGCUCUGUCAUGUUCGGAAUUUGGCACCUGUAUGACAAUUGUUUUUAGUGAUGAAAGAGAUCUGAUAUUGUUUUCACUGUUGACUGUAAUCUGUACGCGUAAAUUUCGUAGAUCAAAGAGGAUAGGUUGCUUUCUU